CAGCAUCCUUCUCUACCUUUUCUGGAUCACAACUCUUCCAAAGUGGCAAGGAUUAUGCAAUCAGCAUCCAUACUCCUGCGAAACAUGUAUUUGAUACCUUCUCAAAAAAUAGAAAGAGAAGUCUCAACACACAGAAAGAAGAACUGUUAUAAUGGAUUUGCUUAAUCCUUUGAUAUUUGAAAUUUGCCUUUCUGCAUAACCCCAGUCAAUGGAAGUCCUCUCCGCAAACCAUCUCUAGAUCCUGGUUCAAACUCAACUUAGAUCUAGUUAUGUCCAUGCAUGAAAUUGUACAGAAAAUGGAGUUUCCAUUUCACACUGAGCUCAGGAUCUGACUCAAGUCCCUUCAAAAGUAACAGAAAAUAGUACUCCUUGACAGCAAGAGGCUUUAAAUAUACCCUGAAUUCCUGACCUCUCUGAACAAGUCUACUGAAUAAA
rnacentral:lncRNA from 1 species